rnacentral:rRNA from 1 species
GUGCCAGCCGCAGCUGCGGUAAUACGAAGGGUGCAAGCGUUACUCGGAAUUACUGGGCGUAAAGCGUGCGUAGGUGGUGGUUUAAGUCUGCUGUGAAAGCCCUGGGCUCAACCUGGGAAUUGCAGUGGAUACUGGGUCACUAGAGUGCGGUAGAGGGGUGUGGAAUUUCCGGUGUAGCAGUGAAAUGCGUAGAGAUCGGAAGGAACAUCUGUGGCGAAGGCGACACCCUGGGCCAGCACUGACACUGAGGCACGAAAGCGUGGGGAGCAAACAGGAUUAGAAUACCCUGGUAGUCCACGCCCUAAACGACUGCGAACUGGAUGUUGGGUUCAACUUGGAACCCAGUAUCGAAGCUAACGCGUUAAGUUCGCCGCCUGGGGAGUACGGUCGACAAGACUGAAACUCAAAGAAUUGACGGGG